GACGAACGCUUUUGGCGUGCUUAACACAUGCAAGUCGAACGGAAAGGCCCUGCUUUUGUGGGGUGCUCGAGUGGCGAACGGGUGAGUAACACGUGAGUAACCUGCCCUUGACUUUGGGAUAACUUCAGGAAACUGGGGCUAAUACCGGAUAGGAGCUCCUGCUGCAUGGUGGGGGUUGGAAAGUUUCGGCGGUUGGGGAUGGACUCGCGGCUUAUCAGCUUGUUGGUGGGGUAGUGGCUUACCAAGGCUUUGACGGGUAGCCGGCCUGAGAGGGUGACCGGCCACAUUGGGACUGAGAUACGGCCCAGACUCCUACGGGAGGCAGCAGUGGGGAAUAUUGCACAAUGGGCGGAAGCCUGAUGCAGCAACGCCGCGUGCGGGAUGACGGCCUUCGGGCUGUAAACCGCUUUCGCCUGUGACGAAGCGUGAGUGACGGUAAUGGGUAAAGAAGCACCGGCUAACUACGUGCCAGCAGCCGCGGUGAUACGUAGGGUGCGAGCGUUGUCCGGAUUUAUUGGGCGUAAAGGGCUCGUAGGUGGUUGAUCGCGUCGGAAGUGUAAUCUUGGGGCUUAACCCUGAGCGUGCUUUCGAUACGGGUUGACUUGAGGAAGGUAGGGGAGAAUGGAAUUCCUGGUGGAGCGGUGGAAUGCGCAGAUAUCAGGAGGAACACCAGUGGCGAAGGCGGUCCUCUGGGCCUUUCCUGACGCUGAGGAGCGAAAGCGUGGGGAGCGAACAGGCUUAGAUACCCUGGUAGUCCACGCUGUAAACGGUGGGUACUAGGUGUGGGGUCCAUUCCACGGGUUCCGUGCCGUAGCUAACGCUUUAAGUACCCCGCCUGGGGAGUACGGCCGCAAGGCUAAAACUCAAAGGAAUUGACGGGGCCCCGCACAAGCGGCGGAGCAUGCGGAUUAAUUCGAUGCAACGCGUAGAACCUUACCUGGGUUUGACAUGGAUCGGGAGUGCUCAGAGAUGGGUGUGCCUCUUUUGGGGUCGGUUCACAGGUGGUGCAUGGCUGUCGUCAGCUCGUGUCGUGAGAUGUUGGGUUAAGUCCCGCAACGAGCGCAACCCUUGUUCACUGUUGCCAGCACGUUAUGGUGGGGACUCAGUGGAGACCGCCGGGGUCAACUCGGAGGAAGGUGGGGAUGACGUCAAGUCAUCAUGCCCCUUAUGUCCAGGGCUUCACGCAUGCUACAAUGGCUGGUACAGAGGGUGGCGAGCCUGUGAGGGUGAGCGAAUCUCGGAAAGCCGGUCUCAGUUCGGAUUGGGGUCUGCAACUCGACCUCAUGAAGUCGGAGUCGCUAGUAAUCGCAGAUCAGCAACGCUGCGGUGAAUACGUUCCCGGG
rnacentral:rRNA from 1 species